rnacentral:rRNA from 1 species
AUUGAGCGCUGGCGGCAGGCUUAACACAUGCAAGUCGAGCGGAUGAAGGGAGCUUGCUCCUGGAUUCAGCGGCGGACGGGUGAGUAAUGCCUAGGAAUCUGCUUGGUAGUGGGGGAUAACGUCCGGAAACGGGCGCUAAUACUGCAUACGUCCUGAGGGAGAAAGUGGGGGAUCUUCGGACCUCACGCUAUCAGAUGAGCCUAGGUCGGAUUAGCUAGUUGGUGGGGUAAAGGCCUACCAAGGCGACGAUCCGUAACUGGUCUGAGAGGAUGAUCAGUCACACUAGAAGUGAGACACGGUCCAGACUCCUACGGGAGGCAGCAGUGGGGAAUAUUGGGCAGUGGGCGAGAGCCUGAUCCAGCCAUGCCGCGUGUGUGAAGAAGGUCUUCGGAUUGUAAAGCACUUUAAGUUGGGAGGAAGGGCAGUAAGUUAAUACCUUGCUGUUUUGACGUUACCAACAGAAUAAGCACCGGCUAACUUCGUG